AGACUUGGUCAAAACCGUAAGUGCAACUCUGAUUUCAGUACAAAUAAGUGGGGGGGAAAAGGCAUCAUGGUUUACACAUCCAAUGAUGGGGACAUUUAAGAGAAUAGUCCAGUGAACCCAAACUUAAUCCCCCACCCACAAAAAGAUUUAGAUUAUGUGAAAUACGGUGAAGGAGAGGAGAAAGGAUCAUCCAGGUCACAAUCAGAAACACUUGGCUGCACUGGUAUAAUCUGACCAAUACUUGCAAGGAAUAACUGAGUCAGUACGAUUCAGCCCAGAGAAGCAAAUAUAGGUGUGGAAAGAAAAAACACUGAGGCAAAGUGCAGGAGGCUGGAAACAGAGAGAAACACGUGGAACACAAUAUAACUGACUUCUUCGAUGAAACCAAACUAGGGUUUCCCACCUGUUGAGAAAAGGAAACAAAAACAUGAUCAGAGGACUGGUUUUAGGGGGCAGUGAAAGAAAGAGGAUUUUACAUUUAUCUUUGAUUCAUUUUACCUCUUUUUAAUAUGCAGGACUGCUCUCUAACGAUGUUACAUGAAAGGAGGACCCUUUGAGGGCCACUGUGUUUCACAGAACCACACUCAACAGUCUGGCAGAAAGAGAAGCAGGAGAUUAGAGGGAUAGCAGUGAAGAAAGGAGGAGAGUAGUCAAGAAGAUGUAACCGGACCCUGAACCAUGAGGAAGAACGGAAGCAGCCCAUCCAGCAUGAACACCACUUGCCAGCAUCGGAGCUUGUGUUAUGACCGCCUGAUCGAAAAAUGUGUGAGCUGCAAAGAGAUGCAGAGAGGCACUGAAAAAGAACCAACCACUAUUCUCAGAGUGGCCAACCCUACAACCCGUAUACCAGCAGGACCUUUUACUGAAGAUCACACUUGCUCAGCCCUUGCCUUUGGUCUCUACAUUUUUGUGGGGCUAAUCCUUGCCUUGGCAGUGCUGUGGCUUGUAACAAACCUGAGACAAAAGAAAAAGAAGAGGAUGAAAAAAGCAGAUGAGGAAGAUCCUAAAGAAAAUAAGGACUCCUUUGAAAAUGAAGUUCAUGAAGACCAUAGCUGCGGGCAAGGAGAUGAUGCUCCUGGACUACUUAAAUGCCCACAUGAAAAUGGCACUUCAAACACUGCUGGUGAUGAAAUUUUAAUGAGGAACAUGUACCAUAUUGUUAAGGCAGGAAGUGAUGCCUCUGAAGUUGUUCCCCGGUCUCCCCUCAAUGAAGAACGCAGCCCUGCUUUUCCAGUGCCGGCAACUGAACUUGGAACAACUAUGCUGGUAACGGCCAAGACGACUCAGGGGAAUUUUCUUAGUGAAAAGUUGCCUUAACAAUAGGUUUAAAACUGCUGGGACCGGCAGGUACUCCCUAAAAUGUGAUAUCAGUACUUUUAGUAUGAUGAAAGGCUAUUGAAUGGAUACAGGCACUAGAGGUUUCUCUCACUUCUAAUGGAAGUAGGUUUGCUGUUUGCCAAAUUCUAAUGUAAUGAAGCCGGCCUCAGCUGCCAGAGGAUUUCAGUUUUGGUUCAGAUCAGAAAAAGUAAGUUAAUAAUAAUGGGAUAAUUUACCGCCCCUUGCCUGGCUGCCUUUGAAAUGGGAGAAGACAAAAAGAAAAGAUAAGUCUAAGGAAAUAAAAUUAUUAUUCAGCGCA
ensembl:lncRNA uncharacterized LOC110076075